rnacentral:sRNA from 1 species
CUUAACAUCUAUUACUGCUCCAACUGAAGCCAAGAAAGGUCUUCCUAAGAUCAGAGGAUCCUUAGAUUUUUCAUCCAUCUCAAGCACAACAAAAUCAGUAGGCACCUCUACUCCAUUAAUCAUUACUUACACGUCCUCUAAAAGGCCAAAAGGUCUCUUUGAAGUCCUAUCAGCAAGAAUCAAGGUUAGGUCACAAGGCUUGUAUUGAACGAAUCCCAGCUUCUUUACAACAGAGAGUGGCAUUAAGCUGACUGAGGCUCCUAGAUCACAUAGACAAUUGUUGAAAGUCAAUUGCCUAAUGGAGCAUGGUAGAGUAAAAGAUCGUGGAUCUUCCAACUUUUCUUGAACAAUCUUCUUCUGAGUGAUUGCACUGCACUCAUGACUUAACACCACCAUUCCUUGGACUUCUUUGAUCCUUUCUGUAAUCAAGUCUUUCACGUACUUGUGCUCGUCAGGUAUUAGCGCGAGACAGUCCACUAAAGGCAUAUCCUUUAUGUGUUUUUCCAGGAGGGCUCUGUAUUUUGCAACCAGAACUUUCUUGAAACGACCAGGGAAUGGAAGCAGAGGUUUGUAAGGCAGUGGCACGAAGACUGUGUCUUUGGUCUUUGUAGCUUCCAGUUUUUCAACAAAGGGAGUAGCUAGGGGAGCUUGUGGUCGAGUGGGUUGACUGGUGAGUAUGGGCUCUUCGAUUAGGUUGUCAGCCAACACAUCAUCUUGAUAAAAAUCCUCCCCCUCUAGAAUUACACUUUCCUCAGUGUUUGAUGUAGGGACAUAUCGAGUUGGCAGCUCGCGAUCAUGUGUGAUAGUGAUGGCAUGGGCAGUGGCAUACUCCUUUGGAUUCUGGAUUGCUUUCCUUGGAAGCUGGCAUGGGUUGUUGUUAACAGAUGGUGAAGCGAGGAUGCCUUCCACAUAUCUCAUCCUAGUGCUCAUUGAUUCGAACUUGCUGUUAAGUUUGAUGCCUUAUCGGUCGACUUUGUUGUUUACUUCAGACAGCUUCUUAGCGAUUUCCAUUGCUCCUGUGGCUUGUCCUUGAAUGAGCUGGUAGAGCACAGUCAUUAUGUCUGAAUUCUGAGGCGCAGGUGCUUGUUGUUGAUGUGGUGUGAAACCAGGUGGUGGUUGUUGUUGUUGAUAUCCUCCUUGAAACUGCUGCUUUGGAACGAACCCUUGGCUUUGGUUGUAAGGAACAAACGGUUUGGAUUGGUUCUGCUGCUGCUGCUGAGUCUAGACUUGGUCCUGAGGGUUGGCGACAUUGGUGCUUCUGUAUGACAGAUUUGGGUUGAGUCUAUAGUUAUUGUACCCCUUGUUGUAGCCACCUUGAUUAUGAAUAUAUCUGAUUUCAGCACACUGAUCAUUCUCCCCCUCUUGUACUUGGAAUGGUUCAUCUUUAGAGAUGAAGUGAACAUGUUUCUGUUGCAUUUGGAUGAUUUUGUCAAGUUUGUCAUUGAGAGGUUUCAUCUCUCUAUGGUGCUUGUCAUCAGUGUCAGAACUGGUGUAGAUGCUUCUGUCAUAGUCUUCAUUGUAAUUGCCAUCCGAUUGAGCAAAGUUUUCAACUAGCUCCCAUCCUUCUUCAACAUCCUUCUUCAGAAAAUUUCCAUUUGAAGCGGUGUCAAGGAGCAUACGUAUCUUAGGCAGGACGCCUCUGUAAAGUGUGUUGAGAAGAGAAGCUUGGGUAAAUCCGUGAUGAGGGCAUUUGGUUUGAUAACCCUUAAAGCGCUCCCAAGCUUCAUAGAAGCUUUCAUUUUGCUUCUGAGUGAAUCCGGAUAUCUCAUUCCGGAGUCUUGCAGUUCUAGAGUUGGAGAAGAAUUUUGCCAAGAAGGCCUUUUUGCACUCAUCCCAGGUCGUGAUUGAAUUCUGGGCUAGCGUCUUUUCCCACAGAUGGGCUUCAUCUCCAAGUGAAAAAGGAAACAAGCGAAGCUUGAAACCAUCUUCACUAACUCCAUGGAUUUUAGUAAGGCCACAGAGCCUUUCGAACUCGUCAAGAUGAUCUAGCGGAUCCUCCAUUGGCAGGCCAUGAAACUUGUUCCCCUGAACCAUUGCAAUGAGACCGCUUUUGAUCUCAAAGUUGUUGUUCUGUACUGGAGGUGGGACAAUUCCAUGACGCUGGUUGUGGUUGUGAGGGAAAUCACCAGCACCAAUGUUGGUAGGUUGCUGUUGCUCAUCUACAACGUUAGCCAUUGUGUCUGUGUCUGUCUGUUCUCUCAGUUGGCAAGCAAUACGGUCGAUGUUAUCGUUGAAUAGGAGGUUCUGAUUUCCUUGUGACCGUGUAUGCAUGCAACAGAUGGCAGCAGGGCUAUAAUCGACGAAUCAGAGAUGCGUUUGGAAAGCAGGUUACAAGGUACCUGAAACACAAAGACAGAAAAGGCACAAUGUUAGUAACUUCAGUAACAAAAACGAACUUGAUCUUAACGUUUCUAAUGAUCUCAAAUAUAGCAAACAAACACCGAACUGGAAACGGCGCCAAAUUGAUACUAGGAUUUUUACUCAAUUAAUCCUAAAACACUAUCCUGUCGUUGUAGUAUUUUAGGAUGUCAAUCCAAUCCGGUGUGAUGCAAACAUAUGAGAUAUGAUCAGAAAGCUCUAAGUCAAGCCAAGCAGAGAGUUGGUUGGUUCUAACAGUCCUAGUAUGCAAUAACAGAAAUGAAAUGAAACUAAAAGCAGAAAUGACAAUAGCAGGCAAGUGAAUGACAAAGCAGAAAUGAUAACAGGCAAUCAAAUGGAUAAACGAUUCCUAAGGAUGGGGUAAUCGUAUAGCGUGGUCUACUUGAUCUAUUCAGGCGGUUGACAAAACUUCACAGAAGCUAUCCCUAGACAACAAGUUCAACAACAGAUUAAUUCACUCCCGUGAUAGAAAUCCUCAAGCAAAGCUAGACACUGACCUAAAUCUCUUUAGCGAUCUCUAACUAAGCAGGCAUUAUCGAAUCAACAUGUUAAAGUUAAUACCCUCUCUUCAGCCAAUCCCUUGGGGUAGAGUCAGAUAUCUCUAGAAUUAAUAGGAUCCAACGCCCAUUAAACGCCUUCUGAGCGCUGGACGUCUGGACUCAUACUCCAGAUUAGCCAGUGAAACAAGCAAUAAGCGCAACUAAUCUAGAAGGGAUUCUAGUAUUCUAAACUCAACCACCUAAAACGACCAAGUAAACCACAACUAUUCUAUCCCAUCCUCAGAAAUACAUUUCACUACUCAAACAUAAUCAAAGACAAUAGCAAAGCAACAAUUGAAAACAUGAUAACAGAAAUGACGAAAGACUUAAACAAAAACUGAAUUACAAAUACUUGAAAGUGAAAAUACAAAGUCGCAAGAGAAAAACUCCGGCUAUCAAAGUUGCGAAAAUGUAAAAGCGAGAUAAUUAUGGAUAAUAGCGGAUGCCCUAGGGAAAACCCUAAGAGGCAAUUUAUAUAAGCGAGAAAUGAAACAAAUAAGGAAACUAAAUAUAUAGCGAAUCUUCACGUCAUGAUCCUGCGACCGAAUGUGUCAUUGGCAUCUCACGAGCUGAAAUGAGCUUCCUAGUGAUCGAGUGAUAGGCAUGGGACUUCCUCCCAAGUGAGCUUGUUUUAAGUCUCUAGCUUGACUCCUCACACUCAUUAGGCUCAAGGAGGGUAAUAGAGUAGAAUUGACGUCUCCUCUCCUUCCUUAGUAGAUACAACAUCAAAUUCAGCAUGCUCUCGUGACAAGUCUGUAAGUGAGUACUCAAUGGCCCUUUCUUGGUAAGCUCCUUUUUCAUCAUCUUGAUAGUCAUCUUUUCUGGACUGUUUUGAUGUGAAUUCACAUCCUUCUUUUCUAACCAUAGGAAUAACUUCAUCAUUUGGGACGUCCUUGAUGUCGAGUGGAGCUUGGUUGGCUUUCCCAUCGAGCUCUUUGACUUGAUCCUUCAACUCUUUCACAUUGUGUGUUAGCUCUAUUAUAGCUUUGUCGUGCCAUUUUGACCUCUCCUUGAGUUCUAACCAAUCAUUUGAUGCCCUCACGCUUGACUCUAGCUGUUUGGUUGAGCAUUCUAGUCGAGUAUCAGUUGAGCCUUCCUCGUUCAAUGUAACAUCCUCUGUUUCUGACGCAAUGUCACCUUUAAAUAUCUCUGAUCCUGGUACUUCGUUGUGUGAGUCUAAUGACAUCUCAUAGCUCAAGGUCUCACUGGAGAGAAAUCCAGUUUCACUACUUUUGGUUAAAGUAGUUUGAAGGUGAUCUCUGUCAACAAUCUCCUCUAGCAGUUCAUUACCUAGCUGAUCCAUUUCCUCAACUAAGAAGGUUUGUCCUUCUAUUGUUGGCUUCUUCAUAGCGUCCCUGAUGUCAAACUUCAUUUUGACAUCCUCUCCCAGAUUAAGAUUAAUUUUUCCCUACUUAACAUCUAUUACUGCUCCAACUGAAGCCAAGAAAGGUCUUCCUAAGAUCAGAGGAUCCUAAGAUUUUUCAUCCAUCUCAAGCACAACAAAAUCAGUAGGCACCUCUACUCCAUUAAUCAUUACUUACACGUCCUCUAAAAGGCCAAAAGGUCUCUUUGAAGUCCUAUCAGCAAGAAUCAAGGUUAGGUCACAAGGCUUGUAUUGAACGAAUCCCAGCUUCUUUACAACAGAGAGUGGCAUUAAGCUGACUGAGGCUCCUAGAUCACAUAGACAAUUGUUGAAAGUCAAUUGCCUAAUGGAGCAUGGUAGAGUAAAAGAUCGUGGAUCUUCCAACUUUUCUUGAACAAUCUUCUUCUGAGUGAUUGCACUGCACUCAUGACUUAACACCACCAUUCCUUGGACUUCUUUGAUCCUUUCUGUAAUCAAGUCUUUCACGUACUUGUGCUCGUCAGGUAUUAGCGCGAGACAGUCCACUAAAGGCAUAUCCUUUAUGUGUUUUUCCAGGAGGGCUCUGUAUUUUGCAACCAGAACUUUCUUGAAACGACCAGGGAAUGGAAGCAGAGGUUUGUAAGGCAGUGGCACGAAGACUGUGUCUUUGGUCUUUGUAGCUUCCAGUUUUUCAACAAAGGGAGUAGCUAGGGGAGCUUGUGGUCGAGUGGGUUGACUGGUGAGUAUGGGCUCUUCGAUUAGGUUGUCAGCCAACACAUCAUCUUGAUAAAAAUCCUCCCCCUCUAGAAUUACACUUUCCUCAGUGUUUGAUGUAGGGACAUAUCGAGUUGGCAGCUCGCGAUCAUGUGUGAUAGUGAUGGCAUGGGCAGUGGCAUACUCCUUUGGAUUCUGGAUUGCUUUCCUUGGAAGCUGGCAUGGGUUGUUGUUAACAGAUGGUGAAGCGAGGAUGCCUUCCACAUAUCUCAUCCUAGUGCUCAUUGAUUCGAACUUGCUGUUAAGUUUGAUGCCUUAUCGGUCGACUUUGUUGUUUACUUCAGACAGCUUCUUAGCGAUUUCCAUUGCUCCUGUGGCUUGUCCUUGAAUGAGCUGCUAGAGCACAGUCAUUAUGUCUGAAUUCUGAAAACCCUCCGCGAAA